AUACGGAUGGUGCAAGCGUUGUUCGGAAUCACUGGGCGUAAAGGGCGCGCAGGCGGUUUGGUAAGUCAGAUGUGAAAGCACACGGCUCAACCGGGGAAGUGCAUUUGAAACUGCCAGACUUGAGUACCAGAGGGGAAAGUGGAAUUCCCGGUGUAGAGGUGAAAUUCGUAGAUAUCGGGAGGAAUACCGGUGGCGAAGGCGACUUUCUGGCUGGAUACUGACGCUGAGGCGCGAAAGCGUGGGGAGCAAACAGGAUUAGAAACCCUAGUAGUCC
rnacentral:rRNA from 1 species